CCUGCUGGUUCCACGAAGCCGCUUUUCAUUAAUUUUGAUGACUUUACUUUGCAGCCUAGCCUGUGUAGAUCUACCAUAAUUAAAAUAUCUACGGGUCACAGACUCACUAUCACGUGAUCAUGUCACGGUCAGUGCCAGUGCAGUGGGAGUACUUCCAGAGCAGUGCAGUGCCGUCCAGCUUCAGAUUCAUUGACUCGUAUAUCGUAGAUCUACUACACCGGUGCUCGUGUUAGCGGUGUCCCACAACCCGUUUCAUCAGCAGAAUACUUAGUAAUGAAAAAUCGUCCCUGAUUCAAGUGGGGUUCGGCUCGACAACAAUCUUCUUACUGCACGAGUCUACCAGGUCUUUGCGGCGGCACACGUCCAUCACAUGAUCGCAGUUCCUGCAGCCGUGUACAUGUGUACUAGCACUAGCAGAUACAGUAGUACUAGUAGAACCUCCACUACAGCUACAGUAGGACCAGUGGCAUGCUGGUGAAGUAUUUAGUUGCAGCGAGACGCUCUGUUACGAAGACAUAUAAUGUUUCCUGUUGACAAUGGAGCGGGCUGCCAGAGCAGCUGCACAAACUGACCGGCUGACUCUGACAAACCACCGUCAGGUUCCCAGCAGCCACUUCCGGAGCCUGACUGUGGCCAUCAGCACCCGGUGAUUGAGAGUUGGUGCUGCGCUGCUAGAACGAAAGCCAGCACAGCAACAUAAUUUUACCACACCCAGAUAUGUCCAGAGUGUGGGAGAAGGGACCUGGGUCACCAUUGUCAUGCUGGUUGCUGAUCGGACGAGUCAUGGUUUGAAUUCUUUAUUCUCAUGAUGGCACCAUCGCCAAUAAGAGAUGAGUUUAUGAGAAGACUUCGUUUGCACUUGUGGAAAGCGCUAUCGCCGUCGCCAGGACUUGACUCGCCACGCCCGAUUCUGCUCGUGACUUGAACACUCUUGGUCCCUUCGGAACCUGCAAUCAUCUCCGGAUGGGCAUAUUGUAUUGUAUUGUAUUGUAUUGUGUGUGUGUGUGUGUGUGUAUGAGUGUUCAUGUGUGUAUGUGCAUGCAUGCACAUACAUGUGUGUGUGUGUGUGUGUGUGUGUGUGUGUGUGUGUGUGUGUGUGUGUGUGUGUGUGUGUGUGUGUGUGUGUGUGUGUGUGUGUGUGUGUGUGUGUGUGUGUGUGUGUGUGUGUGUGUGUGUGUGUGUGUGUGUGUGUGUGUGUGUGUGUGUGUGUGUGUGUGUGUGUGUGUGUGUGUGUGUGUGUGUGUGUGUGUGUGUGUGUGACAAUGUCUAGUGACUAUCAUCAGUGGAACAUCGUCACAUAGUAAGAAUCACUAAAACAACCAGUUAUGUAGCAAGAAUAACUUGACAAGGAGCGUGAGAAUGCAGCAGCUCGCGGUUAUGCAUGGCGCGUGUAAUGUGAACUUAUGCAGUGAAUCUGAGAAUGGUAGCAGAAGAUGAA